CGGAGGGUGCAAGCGUUGUCCGGAUUUAUUGGGUUUAAAGGGUGCGUAGGCGGCUCUGUAAGUCAGCGUUGAAAUAUGGCAGCUUAACUGUCAGACUGGCAUUGAUACUGCAGGGCUUGAGUGAAGCCGAGGUUGGCGGAAUUGAAGGUAUAGCGGUGAAAUGCAUAGAUAUCUUCAAGAACACCUAUUGCGAAGGCAGCUAACUAGACUUUAACUGACGCUGAGGCACGAAAGCGUGGGGAUCAAACAGGAUUAGAUACCCUGGUAGUCCACGCCGUAAACUAUGAUCACUCGAUGUGUGCGAUAUACAGUACGCGUCCAAGCGAAAGCGUUAAGUGAUCCACCUGGGGAGUACGAUCGCAAGAUUG
rnacentral:rRNA from 1 species